UACGUAGGUGGCAAGCGUUGUCCGGAUUUACUGGGCGUAAAGAGCUCGUAGGUGGUUUGUCGCGUUGUUCGUGAAAACUCACAGCUUAACUGUGGGCGUGCGGGCGAUACGGGCAGACUGGAGUACUGCAGGGGAGACUGGAAUUCCUGGUGUAGCGGUGGAAUGCGCAGAUAUCAGGAGGAACACCGGUGGCGAAGGCGGGUCUCUGGGCAGUAACUGACGCUGGAGGAGCGAAAAGCGUGGGGAGCGAACAGG
rnacentral:rRNA from 1 species